rnacentral:rRNA from 1 species
AGAGUUUGAUCCUGGCUCAGAUUGAACGCUGGCGGCAUGCCUUACACAUGCAAGUCGAACGGUAACGCGGGGGCAACCCUGGCGACGAGUGGCGAACGGGUGAGUAAUACAUCGGAACAUAUCCAGUAGCGGGGGAUAACCUAUCGAAAGAUGGACUAAUACCGCAUACGAUCUACGGAUGAAAGCAGGGGACCGCAAGGCCUUGCACUAUUGGAGUGGCCGAUGUCGGAUUAGCUAGUUGGUGAGGUAAAGGCUUACCAAGGCGACGAUCCGUAGCUGGUCUGAGAGGACGAUCAGCCACACUGGAACUGAGACACGGUCCAGACUCCUACGGGAGGCAGCAGUGGGGAAUUUUGGACAAUGGGCGCAAGCCUGAUCCAGCCAUGCCGCGUGAGUGAAGAAGGCCUUCGGGUUGUAAAGCUCUUUCGGUGAAGACGAAACGGUUCGCGCUAAUAACGCGGACUAAUGACGGUACUCACAGAAGA